UAUUGAAACACCAGUUCUCAUAUGACCACUGAAGUUAAGCAACAUCAAGACUGAUCAGUAGCUAGAUGGGUGACUGCUUGGGAUAACCAGGUGCUGUAAG